CACUAUCAAUAAAUACAACCUCAACGCGGUGAUGGUGUCUAGUAACAUGUUCUAAUAAAUCUUCCUGGUUUGCAUGUGAAGCGAAUGUAUU
rnacentral:ribozyme from 1 species